GCUCAGGAUGAACGCUAGCGGUGUGCCUUAAGCAUGCAAGUCGAGCGCUUGUGCUUCGCACAAGGAUAACGGAUUAACGCUGAUUUUUGGACGGAUUAGUGCAGAUUCAUCUGCAAAAAUCUGUUUUUGAUUAGCGGAAAUCAGUGUCCUCGCGCGAAGCGCGAGAGCGGCAGACGGCUGAGUAACACGUAGGUAGCUACCCUUUAGCGGGGGAUAGCCCGCCGAAAGGCGGAGUAAUCCCGCAUAAUCCCCGCCUUUGGCGGGGGAAAGAGCUUAACUGCUCACUAAAGGAGGCGCCUGCGGCCUAUCAGCUUGUUGGUAGGGUAAUGGCCUACCAAGGCAAAGACGGGUAGGGGGCGUGAGAGCGUGGCCCCCCAGAAUGGGACUGAGACACGGCCCAUACACCUACGGGUGGCAGCAACUGGGAAUCUUGCGCUAUGGGCGAAAGCCUGACGCAGCGACACCGCGUGAAGGAUGAAGGCCUUCGGGUUGUAAACUUCUGUUAAAUAGCACCGGCUAACUACGUGCCAGCAGCUGCGGUAAGACGUAGGGUGCAAGCGUUAUCCGGAUUUACUGGGCGUGAAGAGUUCGUAGGCGGAAAGGUAGGUUGUUGGUUAAAGCCCCCGGCUCAACCGGGGAAAAGCUGGCAAAACCGCCUUUCUUGUCCUCUGCAGGGGGUGCUGGAACUUACCAUGUAGGAGUGAAAUCCGUUGAUAUGGUAAGGAACGCCAACGGCGAAGGCGGGCACCUGGGCAGCAGGAGACGCUGAGGAACGAAAGCUAGGGGAGCGAACCGGAUUAGAGACCCGGGUAGUCCUAGCCGUAAACGAUGUCCGCUAGUUGCUUGAGAGUAAUCUUAGGUGACGAAGGUAACCCAUUAAGCGGACCGCCUGGGAAGUACGAUCGCAAGAUUGAAACUCAAAGGAAUUGGCGGGGAGGCGCACAACCAGUGGAGCAUGUGGUUUAAUUCGAUACAAAGCGAAGAACCUUACCUGGGUUUGACAUCCAGCCGUUUACUCUCUUGGAAACAGGAGAGGAUCCCCUCAAGGGCGGAAGCAAAUGGAAAUCCGAAAAAGCUUUUGCUUUUGAGGGGGAUGGCUGGACAGCUACUGCAUGGUUGUCGUCAGCUCGUGUCGUGAGAUGUUCCCUUAAGUGGGGUAACGAGCGCAACCCCUAUCCUGUGUUGGAUUUUCACAGGAGACCGCCCCGCCGUUUCUGGAAACAAAUCUUUUUGUUUGGCUAUUUUUAAGCUUUUCUAAAAAAAUACCAACCGUUAAGAUUUGUUAAUAGAAACGGCGGGGAGGAAGGUGGGGACGACGUCAAAUCAGCAUGGUGCUUAUGUCCAGGGCGACACACAUCCUACAAUGGGGAGUAACAAUGGGCUGCCAAGCCGUAAGGCGGAGCUAAUCCCAGCAAACCUCCUCUCAGUGGGGAUUGAGGGCUGCAAUUCGCCCUCAUGAACGCGGAAUUGGUAGUAAUCGCGGAUCAGCAUGCCGCGGUGAAUACGUUCUCGCCUCUUGCACACACUGCCCGUCAAAUGAGCAAAGUCAGGGGUAGCUGAAGGCUCCCUGCCGUUUUAGGUGGGGGGACGAAGCUAAACUUGGCGAUGAGCGUUAAGUCGUAACAAGGUAUCCCUA
rnacentral:rRNA from 1 species